rnacentral:rRNA from 1 species
GUUCUGUCUCAUAUAGGGGAAGACCCGUACUUGCAGAAGAAGUAGCAUCGUCCACCUGUGUUUCAGGGGGGGGCCACCCCCCAGGAAAGG